CCAGGAAAUAGCUCCAUCAUAAGACCGUACCCUAAACCGACACAGGUGGAUUAAUAGAGUAUAUUUAGGCGCUUGAGAGAAUGAUGUUGAAGGAACUCGGCAAAAUGCUUCUGUAACUUCGGAAUAAAGAAGACCUUUUUUUGGGCAACCAUUAAGAGGUGGCACAAGCCAGGGAGAAGCGACUGUUUAUCAAAAACACAGGGCUCUGCUAACACGUAAGUGGAUGUAUAG
rnacentral:rRNA from 1 species